UUCAUGUCCUGAAUCCCAUUUCUAGCCUGUGGAGACAGACACACCGAAAAACAACAAUGUCUAUGCAAGUGAAACCAAACCCACAAACCAAUCUGUUAAAGAUGGAUAGUGAAAGGGGGAGGGCAGAAGCCAUUCCCCAGUAUUAGGCUAUUAGUCUUUGUAGAGGGAAACUGAACCAACUGAGCAAUUUGUCAAAACAAAAUGUAAACUUGGUGCAGAACACUAGACAUUGUCUCUUUUCAGAUGGCAAAGUGAAGAUGCAUUAAGCUCAGUUUAAUGAUAUGCGUCUGCUGCAGCUACAUGUAGUCUGGCAUCAAGACACUGCGAAUGACCGGUCAUCGGGUUCAACAGAGUUGCUUGCUUCAAAUACCCAUAAUCUCUUGUGGUAGAUUAAUAUUAGUGGUAUUCAUUUGGACUAUUUAAUCAACUUGCAGUUAUAGUAGAUCAUAUCCAUUCUGAGUAACUGUGAUACAUUAAGUCUUACCAACAGGCACACACACCAACAUCUACUGGGCAUCUUUUCAGCAGGCCCUUCUCUUCUGUCAAACACACCUGGCAGCUCUGACAGUGACAGCGCCGUCCUUGAGGGAGCAGACGUGGUGUGUGCCUCUGUGUUUCUUGUGGCUGGGGGUGUAGAUGAAGUGGAACGGGAUCCCCCCGAUCUGGAUCCCCUCGUGAACACCGACCAGCUUCAGUGGAAACACCCGGAAGACGGCCAGAAACAUCAGAGUGCUAUCGUCGAGUCCUGCCUAGAGAAUGGGUUCUUGCAGCUCAGGUAGAACAGCAAGAUGCUAACAACAACAACUAAGUGUACCUGUCGGGCCAAAGCUAGAAUUACGGUUGGAUGGAGGAAUUCAACCAAGUCAGCUGUUUCUCUCCCUGAUGAAGGCUGGUGAGCCGACACGCGUUGGUGUUUUUUAAUGGAUUAGCCCUAAAUAAUAAAUGUUUUAAAAAAAAUGCAUCCUACUGAGUGCCUGGACCUGGAAUCUUUUUCCAAACUGAUUUAUGAACUUUUAAUCCAUCCAAGAGCACCAGAGGAUACAAGGGAUACCUGUAGCGCUCCAGCUCCCACUUUUGUCUCAGUUGUUUCUUUGUUGCGUGUUAUAUGACUUGACUCGGCUCCUGUUGCGAUACUUUUACGGUCCUCUUCCGAGUAUAUGUACUUGAGUAUCUUUAUGUAAAACUGUACUGUGUCAUUAGUAUAUGUACUUGAGUAUCUGUAUUUAAAACUGUACUGUGUCAUUAGUAUAUGUACUUGAGUAUCUUUAUUUAAAACUGUACUGUGUCAUUAGUAUAUGUACUUGAGUAUCUUUAUGUAAUACUGUACUGUGUCAUUAACACCACAUUAUUCACAGAGAAAUCAGUAAUCACACAAAGAACAUUGGCCAGUGGUGACAAGCCUAGCUAAGUUGACCUGGCUAAGGAAACCUACUAAUAGAGCAGCUUCAUUCUACCUACAAAACAAAGCCAACGGCAGGGCUUAACCUUUUUAAAAGUGGUGAAAGUGGUUGCCAGCUUGGCAACCAGGCAUGAGGUUUUGGUUGCCGAAGCCAACCAAAUCUGGUUGCCACUUGUAACAAUUUGGCAGCCAAGGGCAACCAUUAAUGUUGAGCCUUGGCCAUUGUUCUAUUAGAAGGUUUAGGCCAGGCUUGUCACUAAUCUACAUUCUAGGAAUACUUUACCUUGGGUAAUCCAAUCAUAAGUGGUCAGCGUCCAAGACGCAUCACUGCUUACACCUGUAUUCAAGGUGUACAGCCAGGGGCACCACUUCUGUUUAGAUUCUACCAAUGUCACAUUCAUUAGAACUUUCAUUGUCUGAGACGCAUCAGAAUGCAUUAGUGUUAACACUACAUAUGUGGUCAAAUGCACACAUCAGAUGUGGUCAGAUCACCUCGGUAAGUGGUUUGAGUGACUGGAUCUCAAUGUGUUUUGGUUAUUGUUUACACUUGUAUUUAGAACUGACAACUUGUGAUCGGAUCACCCAAGACACAGUUUUAAAAACAAAAUGUUACGGGCUCUAAGACACAUUAGAGCGCA